GGCAAGUACAAUGAAACACAACACCUUCUUUGGCUAUAUUGUUGGAGCUAAGUUAUUCAUGCUUAGAAUCACAAUCCAUAUCAUAAACUGCAAUGAGUACAAGGUUGAUAAAGCAAAAAAAAGUGAGGCAGAAUGUAGGCCAAGGUCAAAGCACAACAUGACAUGAAAGAGAGAUGGAAGGCAUGGCAAGAAUAUUAAAUUAAGACAUGUGUCUUGUUCCCUUUUAAGCAAAAAAAUAUGAUUUUUUACAAGAGGCAAGAAAUCAAGCAACUACCAUGAUUGUAACAAUAAUAAAGAUUAGAAUAAUAAUAAAUGUAGUUGGUUUUCAUUGGUUGCAAAUCUAGUAGUAGAAAAAUGAAUCUAAAGGUUUUUUAUUUUUAAAAAAUAUAUAUAUUUAUUUAAUAGAAGUAGAGAUAAGAUUUGACAAAAGUCACCAAAUAAACUCCUAAAAAAACAUGAAAAUUUAUAUAUAAGAAGAUAAGUAUUUACUUGAAUAAAAGCCAUUAGAUUUUUCAUACCCACGAUGAUUUAGAAUGGUCUUCUGCACUUAAGAGUAGUUUGAAUUCUAUUUGUUAAGAGUAUCAAAUAUUUUUCUAUUUUUCUCUUAUUUUAUGAACGCAGUGAAUGCAGCAGCACUCUGAGGGCGUCUGAAACGACUUCUCACCUGCUUCCCCGCUCCAUAGCAAAGAUCUCUCUCUCCACGCUCCACCCUAACACAUCCCAACCUACGAAUCCUCUACCCCCUAAAAACCAUCUCCCGAAAGCCAUUAGGCAAUUCUCCGACAAUGAAAUAUCGAUACAACCUCAAAUCCCACUCAGAACGCACUAAACGCCUCUACCUCUUCAAAACUCUUCAAACUCUCAUCAAAGACUUUUCCGAAACUCACCUGUCCAACUCUCAUCAUCCCGCUUCAGCUGGACACCAUAUAUGGCAGCACUACAAACUGGAGCC
rnacentral:lncRNA from 1 species